GAGUUUGAUCCUGGCUCAGGAUGAACGCUGGCGGCGUGGAUAAGGCAUGCAAGUCGAACGAACUUUUUGUUUCCCGAGAUGAGAUUACAUCAAGUCAAAGGUCGUUUAAAGUUAGUGGCGAACGAGGUAGUAACACAUAGGAACUUCCCCCUAAGUCGUGAACAACUCAUCGAAAGGUGAGCUAAUACACGAUGGUCCCCGUGAGAUAAGAGAACCGAAGUUUAUAGUAAGAUUAAAUAAAAAUAUUUUUUAAUCAUUUAAUUUAUUUCGAUUUUGUUAUCUCACGGGGUAAAGAUUUCUCGCUUAGGGAAAGGCCUGUGAAGUAUCAGCUUGUUGGUAGUGUAAUAGACUACCAAGGCUAUGACGCUUAGGGGAGCUGAGAGGCUGACCCCCACCGAUGGGGCUGAGACACGGCCCAUACACCUACGGGUGGCUGCAGUCGAGAAUCUUCCGCAAUGGACGAAAGUCUGACGGAGCGACGCCGCGUGAUUGAAGAAGCAAUUCGUUGUGUAAAAAUCUUUUAUGAGGGAAGAAGUUUAUUGACGGUACCUCAUGAAUAAGGGGCUCCUAAUCUCGUGCCAGCAGCCGCGGUAC
rnacentral:rRNA from 1 species